UGCGGGAUCGUCUAAUGGCAGGACAACGGUUUUUGGAGCCGUGUAUCGGGGUUCGAGUCCCUGUCCCGCAA
rnacentral:tRNA from 1 species